UUUACUUUGAUGACGUCACUGAUCAAAAGUACUGAUAAUUUUCAUUAAAAAAAGGUAUGAACUAUAUCUACUGUCAAUGCAUGUAAAAUCAGAUAUACAUUCCCCUUACUGUACUUAUCCAGUAAAAUGCCCAACAAAAAUAUUUCUGGUUUCAGAUCAAUAUGUUGCUUUACAAUUUUUUCAAACCAUGUAUGUAUUUUUGUCCAGUAUUUCUUUGCUUUUGGGCAUGUCCACCACAUAUGAUAUGUGAUACUAGGUAUCUGAUAGCAUUUCCAACAUUUUGCGGCCAUAUCCUUAAAAAUCUUUGCUAACCUAAAUAUUUCCUUUAUAUGCAGUUGACAUCCUUAAUUUAUAAUCUCUAUCCCAUACUAUCAUUGUCUCCUUUACUUGCUCAGCUUCCAUCUUGAUACUUAACAAAUUGCUAUAUUUUUAAUUAGUUUUUCAUCUAUCCCUGUUAAUAUCUGAUCUAAUUCUGUUAGUUCUUUAUAGAAACCAUACUUUUAGCAUCCUUCUCAUAUCGGGAUUGUAUCUGCACUUGUGGCCACGUUAUAUCAAUCCCUUGACCACUUAGUUCCUGUUUAGUUUUAAGUUCCCCCUUUUCAUUCAGAAUGUCUUUAUAUCUAUUAAUAUUUUCCAUAUCAAUAACAUUUGGAUGAAUCAAUGCCUCCAUUGUGGAGAGCCAGACUGGUAUUUUCAAAUAGUGAUGUUCUUUCAUUUUCUCCCAUAAUAAUAAUGUGUUUCUAAUGUAAUGUCUUUGGAAAUACUUAUGUAUUUUGUUUUUUUUCCAUACCAUAAAAAGCAUGCCAGCCCAAUUGGAGAUCAUGUCCCUCUGAAGUCAACAAUCCUUUGUGCCUCAAACCAAUCCAUUCUUUUAUCCAAGUUCAGCUUAACUGAUGACAACUGAUCACUUUAAUUCUUUGGGAAAAAACAUGAAGGCCCUCCACUCAUGCUACAUGUGUUCUCACAGACUGGGAUGGAUGUUUGGAUGGGACCAUGAGGAGACAGGCCUAACAGAAGAUCACUUGGAAACUGCAGCUGGCUGCGCAUUCGUCCAUGAAACACAACUGCUUGAGACUUGCAAGGCUUACCUGUUCACCUCUGGGGAAAAAUUCAAGGUGUUGGUUGUCAUCUUUGACUUGUGCUAUUAGAUUGCAGAAGGGACUUCAUCCCUCUUCUAAAGAAUGUUAGCUACAAUGUGUUGGCAGUCUUUUUUUUUAAAUCACUGCCUCCAUUCUCUGAAAUAGUCUCAAGAUUUGACUUGCCCCAACCUUAUUGGGAUUUAGGAAGGCAAACAAAACCUGGCUAGGACUUGGAAGGAAUUGA